UACAGAGGUCCCAAGCGUUGUUCGGAUUCACUGGGCGUAAAGGGUGCGUAGGUGGUGGGGUAAGUCGGAUGUGAAAUCUCCGAGCUCAACUCGGAAAUGGCAUUGGAAACUGCCCUGCUGGAGGGUCGGAGGGGGGACUGGAAUUCUCGGUGUAGCAGUGAAUGCGUAGAUAAUCGAGAGGAACACCAGUGGCGAAGGCGACUCCUGGCCUGUUCUUGACGCUGAGGCGCGAAAGCUAGGGGAGCGAA
rnacentral:rRNA from 1 species